rnacentral:rRNA from 1 species
AGUGAACGCUGGCGGCGCGCUUAACACAUGCAAGUCGAACGAGAACGGAUUAUAGCUUGCUAUAAUUGUCAGCUAAGUGGCGCACGGGUGAGUAAUGUAUAGGUAAUAUGCCUCUUACUAAGGGAUAACAAAUGGAAACGUUUGCUAAUACCUUAUACUCCUUAUUAACAGAAGUUAAUAAGGGAAAGAUUUAUUGGUAAGAGAUUAGCCUGUAUUGUAUCAGUUAGUUGGUGGGGUAAUGGCUUACCAAGACUAUGACACAUAACUGGUUUGAGAGGAUGAUCAGUCACACUGGAACUGAGUCACGGUCCAGACUCCUACGGGAGGCAGCAGUGGGGAAUAUUGCACAAUGGUCGAAAGUCUGAUGCAGCAACGCCGCGUGGAGGAUGACACAUUUCGGUGCGUAAACUCCUUUUAUAUGAGAAGAUAAUGACGGUAUUAUAUGAAUAAGCACCGGCUAACUCCGUGCCAGCAGCCGCCCGUAA